AACUUCCUCUCUCCUCUCCUGAUUGGUGCAUUCUCAUUCUGAUGCAUACUGGGAAAUGUAGUUUAAGGCAGAGCCUUUUGAAUUCUUUGGCAUAGGGCUGCUCUCCUUCCCAUUUCCCAAGUUCUGUGUGUUCCCAAAAUGCAAUUUUCCCUGUCUUCAUAUGAGAAGGAAGCCACCAUGAAGUCUUCAAAUGGAGAAGCCAUUAAACAGGGAGAGGGAUGGCAAAGAAGGCAGCCAGAUGGUACAUUUCUCCUGGAUGGCCAUAUGUCAUGGGUGCUUUGAGUUUGUUUUUCCUGCGUGGCACAGGGAUUGGACUGGAUGCUCCAUGUUUAUUUACAAAUGGCUGUUAUAGUGAAGUAUGUGAAUUUGUCAAAUGUUACACUUUCUCCAGACCAAUUUGUCAUAUCCACUUAUGUGUGCCCUAAAUGAACUACUGCCCAUAACCUCUGUUGUAUGUGACAGACAAUAUAUAAAGAUUUUUUGAGUCGCAGUACAAACUAAGAAUCCUAUGACAGAUAAAAACAUGUCCUGGACAUUAAUGAUUAAAGUAGUUCUUUUCAAGGAUGUCCUAAAUGAGGGGGCAAGCAGAGAGCAGAUUGGGAUGGCAUGAUUCCAGCAGCAGUAGAUUCCAGUCCCCAUAUGAUAUGCAGUAAACUGAUUUUUGUUAUUGUUUGCUGUGAAGUUGACUUUAACAUAUGGCAAUGUUAUGAACGAGAGAUCUUCAAGCUCCCCAGACAUUAAUUGCCCAGCUCAGAUCUUUGUUUGAUUAUAGUGUUUUCAGUGUAAAAUACUUUAAUAGUGAUUUAGCAUUGCAAUCUUCUGCUCAAUACUAGAUCCUUUGGUGCUGCUGCCAUUGCCUCUGCCUGCAUGAUAUGGGAGUUCCCUUCAAGAACAGUGGUGCUUUCAGCAUAGCUCCUUGCCUCAUUGGAGUGCACAGUCCUACCACCACAAGAAAGAGAGUGCUAAAGUGGGGGGGGGGGGUAGAUGAGUAAGAUGUUUACAUUCCCAAUGAAUCAUCAUAAAAAUUGCAAUAACUCCCUCCCAACCCACCCACACACACACUCCAAGUAAGGUACCU
rnacentral:lncRNA from 11 species